UACGUGGGGGGCAAGCGUUGUCCGGAAUCAUUGGGCGUAAAGCGCACGUAGGCGGCCCUGUAAGUCCGUUGUGAAAGUCAAAGGCUCAACCUUUGAAUGCCGAUGGAUACUGCAGGGCUAGAGUCCGGAAGAGGCGAGUGGAAUUCCUGGUGUAGCGGUGGAAUGCGCAGAUAUCAGGAGGAACACCAAUAGCGAAGGCAGCUCGCUGGGACGGUACUGACGCUAAGGUGCGAAAGCGUGGGGAGCGAACAGG
rnacentral:rRNA from 1 species